rnacentral:tRNA from 1 species
UCGGAAGUGGACAAACGGUAAAGUCGCCUGCCUUUGAAGCAGGAUGUUGAAGGUUCAAAUCCUUCCUUCCGAGCCA